rnacentral:pre_miRNA from 1 species
UCUGUACUCCCUCCGUCCGAAAAAGGUUGUCCCUCAAAUGGAUGUAUCUAGCAUCAAGUUAGUGCUAGAUACAUCAAUUUGAGGGACAAGUUUUUUCGGACGGAGGGAGUAUGUC